AACUCAGAGUACCAGGGCAUUUUAUUAAAAGGCAAGGAGUCUUGCAAUGUGCUGUAAUCACGAGGAGAAAAUAACUUGUUUCCUACAUCUGUCAGAGGUCAUGGUAACCUGGACUGAGCUGUUAUUAUUUAUAAUAGGAGGAAGAAGUUAAUAACUGGUUCUCUGUGUUCCAAGCACAAUAUUACAACUUUUCGAACUGUAAAUCUUAGAGUGAAUCCUCUUCCUAAGGAAUUAAACAGAAGCCUCAUUUUCUUUUUAACAAGGCUUCAAAUUUGUAAUUUAUAAUAACUCAAAGUUAAUUGUAAAUUACAGGGCCUCUCCAAUUUGAGGGAGGGAAACUUGCAGAAUCUUUUUUUUUUUUUUUUUAAAAGAAAGGCAGCCAAGGUAGUUACCUAAAAAUAGUACCCAGGCCUAUGAGUGUUGGCCUGUGAGGCCAAAGCACACACUGUUCAGCUGUAUGGCUUUGGCCCUGGGUGGCCGGGAGGUCAGCUUGACCCUGCCAUGUUGGUUUGAUGUGCGAAGUCACUGGGAUCAUUGUGUCUAUGACCAGGCUUUCGCACCACAGGCAGAAUAUUAAGUGAGAGAGUAUUUCUACUGUGAUUAUUGACACAUGAGAGACCAAAAGAAUUUUUGUGAACGUAACCCUGGAAUUCUUUGGGCUCUCCAAAGAAUUUACAGUGGUUUAAAAUGGUUGUCAGCAUUUUUCCAUGAGGACUUUAAUAAACUUAGCCCCGUUUGCUCAAGGUUCCUUUUAAUUGUGAAGUGCUGAUCACAUACAUUUUUGGGGGGGUCUAGCAAAGAGUAGCCUCAUGUUGUGUGGUCAUAACCCCCACCCCCCCAUGUCUUUUCCCCACUCAUUAUGUACAGAUUCUGAUUUUGUAUGCAAUGACUUCACAGUUUGCAAAGUGCAGCACUAUGAUCACUGAUUUCAUAUUCCUAUUUGCCGUUCACCACACCCAAGAACUUUCUGUAAAGGGAAAUAUUACUAAUAUCUAGUUUCUGCUUGUAAACUUAAGAGGAACAUAUGACUCUAUUUUUAACUUUAAAGAUAUUUACAAGGAGUAGAGCUGUUUCUGUGCUGGUAGAUGUUUCUGUGGUCUGUGCUACUUAGGGAACUCAAGAGGAGUGCACUUGUAUAGUCAUGUUACUCCUUACUGUCUGCCUGGAGAAUCAUUUUAUCUCCAAGUGUUCAGUUCUUUUCAGUGAUACAUUGUUACCUGAGUGUCAUUUCCAGGUAAUGUGGAAUGAAUGGGGAAAUGAGAAGGGAUUCAAAGCAAAGUACAUUUCAGUAACACAUAUGAGGUAGGCUGUUUUGUUGUUUUAUUUUAAUCAGUAUUUGGCUGGUAAAAUGAUAAUUUGAUAAACCAUCAUGUUACCAAAGCUAAACCAAACUCCUUCUAAGUGACUGCUGUGAACUUGCCACUAGGUGGCGGUGCCUGUGUAGCUGGGGAGAAAGUCACCACCUUUAUCUUUAUCUGACAGUAUGGUCAGAAGCUCAAGAAAUCGGGAUGUCAGCCUCAAAUUUUUAAUUUUAAGUAGUAACCAAAAGUUUGUUGGGAGAGUGAUUAUGCAGUUUUCUUCUGUCUUGACUGUUUCCUGCGACUGUCUUUGUUUUUAACUCUGAACAUGUUCUCUAACUCUGUGCUACCACAUUUCUGUGUGUGAAGUCAUGCAGCCAGUGUAUCAGCCCUUUGUACUUAGAAGUGUGGCCCCUCCUCUCUAGCCUCUUCUCCACCAUUGAACAUUGCACAUAGGAUUACGAAGUGUUCAGUAAGACAGUGAAAUCUGUGGCAGGCAGAGUUUGUACCAUAAAAAGACCCCAUACAUCACACCAGUAAAAUAGGACAUUCAGAGUGCUCACAUUCUUUCCUUUCUCAUAUGUGUGAUAGGUAGACUCUUAGUGUUAAGAAUUUUUAUUUCACGAUUUACUCAUUUAUAACUUAAUAGAAGUCUUGGAUUAAAUAUACAACUUGUACUGUUUGAUAUAUUGUUUUAAUUUGGAAAGGAUAAUUUGAAGUUAACUGAAAUGAUGGAAGUGGAAUUUAUACUCUGCAUUUUAAAAAAAGUCUUGUUAUUAAUAAGUAUGAUUAAACUUUGUUUUU
rnacentral:lncRNA from 1 species